UACGUAGGGUGCGAGCGUUAAUCGGAAUUACUGGGCGUAAAGCGUGCGCAGGCGGUUGUGUAAGACAGGGCGGAAAUCCCCGGGCUCAACCUGUGAACUGCGCUUGUGACUGCACGGCUAGAGUACGGCAGAGGGGGGUGGAAUUCCACGUGUAGCAGUGAAAUGCGUAGAGAUGUGGAGGAACACCGAUGGCGAAGGCAGCCCCCUGGGCCGAUCAUGACGCUCAUGCACGAAAGCGUGGGUAGCAAACAGC
rnacentral:rRNA from 1 species